rnacentral:rRNA from 1 species
AACGAACGCUGGCGGCAGGCUUAACACAUGCGAGUCGAGCGCAUCCUUCGGGGUGAGCGGCAGACGGGUGAGUAACGCGUGGGAACGUACCCUUUCCUACGGAAUAGCUCCGGGAAACUGGAAUUAAUACCGUAUACGCCCUUAGGGGGAAAGAUUUAUCGGGGAAGGAUCGGCCCGCGUUGGAUUAGCUAGUUGGUGGGGUAAAGGCCUACCAAGGCGACGAUCCAUAGCUGGUCUGAGAGGAUGAUCAGCCACAUUGGGACUGAGACACGGCCCAAACUCCUACGGGAGGCAGCAGUGGGGAAUAUUGGACAAUGGGCGCAAGCCUGAUCCAGCCAUGCCGCGUGAGUGAUGAAGGCCUUAGGGUUGUAAAGCUCUUUCAGUAGGGAAGAUAAUGACGGUACCUACAGAAGAAGCCCCGGCUAACUUCGUGCCAGCCGCCGCAGUAAUAC